GACAGAGGUGGCAAGCGUUGCUCGGAGUUACUGGGCAUAAAGGGCGCGUAGGCGGUCGCGUGCGUCGGUGGUGAAAUCCCCGGGCCUAACCCGGGAACUGCUAUCGAUACGGCGCGGCUAGAGUGCGGGAGGGGGGAGUGGAACUCCUGGUGGAGCGGUGAAAUGCGUAGAUAUCAGGAGGAACGCCGGUGGCGAAAGCGACUCCCUGGUCCGCAACUGACGCUGAGGCGCGAAAGCUAGGGGAGCAAACGGG
rnacentral:rRNA from 1 species